CCCCACUGCUAUCGGGAUAGGACUAAGACAUGCUAGUCGAGUGACUCAGGCAAAACGAGUCACGGCACACAGCUCAGUAACACGUGGCUAAUCUGCCCUUAGGACGAGAACAACCCCGGGAAACUGGGGCUAACUCUUGAUAGGUGAAGAACUCUGGAAUGAGUCUUUGCCUAAAAAGAUUCACGUUAUCCUCGUGAACCUGCCUAAGGAUGAGGCCGCGACCGAUCAGGUUGUUGGUGAGGU
rnacentral:rRNA from 1 species